rnacentral:rRNA from 1 species
GACGAACGCUGGCGGCGUGCUUAACACAUGCAAGUCGAACGGAAGGGCCCUGCUUUUGUGGGGUGCUCGAGUGGCGAACGGGUGAGUAACACGUGAGUAACCUGCCCUUGACUUUGGGAUAACUUCAGGAAACUGGGGCUAAUACCGGAUAGGAGCUCCUGCUGCAUGUUGGGGGUUGGAAAGUUUCGGCGGUUGGGGAUGGACUCGCGGCUUAUCAGCUUGUUGGUGUGGUAGUUGCUUACCAAGGCUUUGACGGGUAGCCGGCCUGAGAGGGUGACCGGCGACAUUGGGACUGAGAGACGGCGCAGACUCCUACGUGAGGCAGCAGUGGAGAAUAUUGCACAAUGGGCGGAAGCCAGAUGCAGCAACGCCGCGUGCGGGAUGACGGGUUUUGGGUUGUAAACCGCUUUCGCCUGUGACGAAGCGUGAGUGACGGUAAUGGGUAAAGAAGCACCGGCUAACUACGUG